ensembl:lncRNA
CAAUCAAUAACGCAAAAAACGAAACGUGAUCUACCCUAAGCACCUUCCUCUCCGGCUGACCUCAUUUCAAACCCUUAACACGCUUUUAAGUGUGCUCUUAGCAUGCCAGCCCGCCGGGACGCUAAGCUAACCUAGCUAGCGCUAACCGGUCCUUUUUAAAGGAGGUUUCAGCGGUGGGUGCUAGCUGCGUUUAAAUCGGAUCGGAUUACCCCGUAAUAAACUCCUCAUGGCCGAAACCCGAGACGUCUCCCUCAAGCCGGUGGUGGCUAUCGCUUAGCCGCAGAAACCGCUCCGCUCGAGAGCUUCCACGCGUUUCGACAUCGAUUUCCCCCCCCCCCCGAAUCCCAUCUCCCCCUUCGCCUGGUGGUCUCCCACCUAUCAUCUUCCCCCCCGUGAUUCGAUUGUCUGGAGAGCAAGCGGGGUGGUAAUGCAAGGGAGCCAUCACCAGACCUCAAACCUCCUCCUCCUUCUCCACCUCCACCUCUCCUGGUGGAGGAGAUACCACAGGAUUGGCUGGAAGCAAGUGUCCGUCAGAGAAACGUCCCACCCACCGAUGACGACAGACAACUACCUCGUCUUCGGUUCUCAACAGCAUCUUCUGGAAAUGCGCACCCGCUUUCAAUAUCACUCCUCCCUUUUUCCCCUCCAUCGUCAAAACCCGACCCCACCAUUACCUUAACCACCUCCUCCUCCACCUCUCUCCUGCUUUUAUCUUCUUUUCCCGUCUCUGCUCCCCCCAGAUGUUCUGCUAUUGCUCCUCCCUAGUCAAUCUUUUCCCCUCCCAUCGUCAAAACCAAAGCCCCCCCUAGACCCUCGUCUCCACCUCCACCUCUCUCCUCCUAUCGUCUCCCCCUCGACUCCGUCCCUGUCCGAUCUCGUCUCCUCGCCCCGGUUCCUCGGUUCCCCGGUCCCCCCGUCCCAUGUACUGCCUCCACUGCGUCAUGGAUCUACUGGACGGCCUGCGGGCGGCCGAGGAGGCCAGCUUCUCCUCUGCGUCGUCGGGCUCGCUGACCACCCUGAGCACCGACCUGGCCUCGUCCUCCGGCUCCGUCUCGGAGCACAACGUCAGCAUGAUGACCUUCUCCACCACCUUCGGCAACUCCUGGGACCUCUGCUCUCUGGAGCUGUCGCCCCCCCCCCUCCCCGCCGCCGCC